GUCAUCCCUCCAUUCUGCUCCUGGACCUGAAAAUUAAAAGCCCAGCAGGCCUGCCCAGUGCAAGAGUUGGGUAGAAGGACGUUUCCGAUGUCCACCUAAAGACAUCAACAACAUACAGUCCCAGGUAGGGCUCCGACGACUUAAAAGGUCAAGGAUCGUGCCGUCUCCGUCCCUACGGUGCACGCGUCUGCCGAGCGCGUCUGCCCGGUCGCCUGGGCCGCCGCUGCAGGCACCGCGACUCCGCGUUCCCCGAGCCGAAGCUUCUGCGGCCCCUCGGCGAGCGCGCACGAGGGCGACAGGCCGGCUCACGCUUGACCACAGCGGCCCGCCCGGUCCUCGUCCCUCCGGAUCCCGGCCCGCCGUCACCCCGCCGCGAGUCCCCGGAGCAGCCGGCCGCGGCCCGCCUCUGCCUUCCGCUGCCUUUCUCGCAGCGUGCGCGCGGCCUCGGAGGCUUCGCUCGGAGAAGACGGAAGAGGACUGAGCGUCGGGCGGUCGCCGACGUCGUGCAACACGGUCCCCGCGGGCUCCGUUCCCUGACGCGGGCUUCCCAGUCAGAUGCAUCCUCGGCGGAGGUAUUCCAUGUUGACAGAUCCCUCGCCUCGCACAAAAUGGGGACGGGGAGCGGCCGCCGCCGGAU
rnacentral:lncRNA from 1 species